ACAGCAGUAGCCGCGGUAAUACAGAGGGUGCGAGCGUUAAUCGGAUUUACUGGGCGUCAAGCGUGCGUAGGCGGCUAAUUGAGUCGGAUGUGAAAUCCCCGAGCUUAACUUGGGAAUUGCAUUCGAUACUGGUUAGCUAGAGUGUGGGAGAGGAUGGUAGAAUUCCAGGUGUAGCGGUGAAAUGCGUAGAGAUCUGGAGGAAUACCGAUGGCGAAGGCAGCCAUCUGGCCUAACACUGACGCUGAGGUACGAAAGCAUGGGGAGCAAACAGGAUUAGAUACCCCUGUAGUCCCUGUCUCUUAUAA
rnacentral:rRNA from 1 species